GCUCCGCAGGCGCCGAGGUUCCCGGGCCGCCGCCGCCCCCGGCUCGCAGGCAGGCCCGUCGGUCCGUCCGUCCGUCCGUCCGUCCGUCGGUGCAGCGCGUCUCACCUCUCCGGGAACACGCAGGGCCUCGCUCCACUCUGCUCGCAGCGCAGGACUCGCCAGUCACUAGCGGAAGCAGCGGCGGAGCGACGCGCGAACCGUCCGCAGCUCUGGAAACGGCGAGAAAAAUAGCGGGGCGGGGCCGUGUACCCCGGAGUCCGCAGCUCCGCGUCCGAGACCCGGCAGGAGGUCGGGGCUCUGCAGCCCGGCGCCCACCGCCUGGACUUGUGGCCGCCCCGGGGGUGGGGCCUCCCGGGGGCGGUGCUGCUCCUCCCGGGCGGGUUAGUUGAACUUCUGCAGCCAUUGCCUCACCAGGAGGGAAGCAAGCCUUAGGAUUCUGCUGAUACCACAGAAAGUAGUGUGUAAGGAUGAAAUAUGCCAAAUCAUGAUUCAGGCACACCCUGAAGCCCAUCCUACUUCUGGACUUUCCAGUCACAUGAGCCACUCACUUAUCUCAAAUGGAAGCUUCCAUUGCAUUGGUCUGGCGAGAUAAUGCUUGUGAAAGAAUUAUAAAACUGGAUAGUAAUAUUACUCUCAUAAUUGAAAAAAAUCCUUUCCUACCUGUAAGACACUACAUUUGGAGAGAGAAUGAUUAUGCCUCUUCCCACAGCGCAAUGAAAUGUGGCCGAUACAGCACCAAGUAGGAGCCCUUGGUAUCUAAUUUCUAAGCCUCACAACAGUCCAGGGAAGAAAAUAUUAUCAUUAUCUUCCUCAGAGCCUCAGGGGCCUGAAAUUCAAGAGGUGAAAUCCAUUAGACAAGAUCACAGAGUUAGUCAGAAGGAGGGUUGGGAUUUGAAUCCCAGUUAACCUGCUCCAAAGCCCUGCACUUUGCACUAUUCCAUUUGAUCUCCUGGUAUAGGUGAGACGGAUUCCCCUUGUAGGGAAGGACAAAUUUAGGAAAGGCUACACUUACGGGAUUUCUGUAAACACCUAUUAGUAAUGCUAUUUUGGACAUACAAAUAUACUGAAUGUCUUAGAAUGUCACUCUCUCAUCCUGGUUUCCCUCUUAGCCCCUCUUUCCACCCUCCCAGCCACGUGGCUGGUGUUUGACAGAAUUCUGUGGCAGCACUUCUCUCUGUCUCGUGAUGGCUGUGGCUGGGACUGGGGCAGAGAAAAUAUCAGAUAAACCCGAAAUAACUUUUUGUACCACCAGUAAGGAAGAAAACACAUAAAAUAUAACGGGACAAAAAAUGACAAGGGACAUGUCCAAAGGACCCAGAAGCCAUCUUAAAUGAGCUUCCAUUGGUCAAAUCUAAGACAACUCCAGCAGAAAAAUAAGUAAUGAAAUUAACAGAUCAGUACCCAUGUGAGUAACGAUAGCAGCUAAUACAUUAACGGAAUUAAUAUAUUUUAUCACCCAUAAAGUAAGUUAUCAUGAGUUUAUAAACAUAAAGAUAAAGAUCUUCCUUAUAGUAGAAUGCCAAUUAAUCAAUGUGGAUGGAAGAACAGAAUUAGAAUGUCACCAUUCUCUCACCAUUGCAUUAACAAUCGGUUCAGGCAAAAAUCAUGGAAGCUAAAAUAAAUAGGGGAAAGUCUGAUGCAGAACCGUAUACAUCUAAAAGCAUCUUCACACGUUAUUUAUGAAAUAAUAGACGGAAAAACCUGGCAGACAAGUGACCAAAGGCCACAUUACCAAUAAUGGGACAAUCUGAUGUUAUCUUCUGCUUUCUGAUAUUAUGCAUGGAGGAUGAGAAAUGCAUACUUGGAUUUAAUGAUGAGGAAACAUCAGAAAACUCAAAUGGGAAGACUUUCUACAAAAUAAUUAGCUUGUAAUCUUCAAAAGUGUCCAGGUCACGGAAGUCAAGGAAAGCCUAAGAUUCCUUUUUUAGAUUAAAGUAGAUUAAGAGACAGGACCAUUAAAUGCAGUGCAGGAAAUUGGGCAGGAUUGGUGAUGAGAGGACAGCCGUGUACUUGCAUGACUGAAACAGCUGGUGAGAUUGGAUAUGGACUGUAGGUUGGACCAGGAGUUGGCGAACUGUGUAUGACCCUCUUGUCAAAUCCAGCCUGCAAUUUUACCUGGCAAGCUAAGAAGGGGUUUUACCUUUUUAAAAAAUUGUGGUAAAAGCCACAAAACAUAAACUUUAUCAUCUUAACCAUUUUUUAAAAGAUUCGGAGCCAGACGUGGGGCUCUAUUCCAGGACCCUGGGAUCACAACCUCAGCUGAAGGCAGACACAACCCACUGAGCCACCCAGGAAGCCCCUCGUCUUAACCACUUUUAAGUGUACUGUUCCACAGUAUUAACUGUAUUCACAUUAUCGUGCAACAGAUCUCUGGAACAUUUUUUGGAAAACCAAAACUCUAUACCCAUCAAACAUCACCACCCCAUUCGCAUUUCCGCCUGGCCCCUGGUAAUCACAAUCCUAUUUUUUUAUUUCUAUGAAUUUGACUUCUUUCGAUGUCUUAUAUAAGUGAAUCAUACAGGAUUUGUCUUUUUGUGACUAGUUUAUUUCACUUAGCAUAAUUUUCUCAAGGUUUUUCUGUGCUGUAGCGUGUAACAGAAUUUCCUUCUUUUUAAAGGAUGAAUAAUAAAUCAUUUAUAUGAAUAUA